rnacentral:rRNA from 1 species
UACGAAGGGGGCUAGCGUUGCUCGGAAUGACUGGGCGUAAAGGGCGCGUAGGCGGUGAACACAGUUAGGCGUGAAAUUCCCGGGCUCAACCUGGGGGCUGCGUUUAAUACAUGUUCGCUUGAGUUCGGAAGAGGGUCGUGGAAUUCCCAGUGUAGAGGUGAAAUUCGUAGAUAUUGGGAAGAACACCGGUGGCGAAGGCGGCGACCUGGUCCGAUACUGACGCUGAGGCGCGAAAGCUAGGGGAGCGAACGGG